UGAAGCUCUGACUGUCAACGC
ensembl:piRNA 21ur-3919 ncRNA